rnacentral:lncRNA from 1 species
GGAAGAAAGAGCUGUGAGAAUCAGGAGGGAGUCACCUGAGUCGGGCUCCAAAAAGUAAAUAGAGUCCGGAGGUUGUAAAGGAAGUGUUCUUGUGCCUAAUGAUAACCAUUACAAAAGACUCAGCCAAAGUCAUAAGUUUAUCUUGAGUCUAUCUAAGUCUUAUUUAAGGGAUGCAUUAUUUAAAAUUCAGAUCAUAAGACAUUUAUAGAAAAAUGCAGUUUUAUUGAGCAGGGGUCACAAAAGACAAGGCACACAAGAGUUAAUAUAGAGAAAGCAACUGAAGCUGAAAACUUCACUAAGCCAUCUGCUCUCGAUCACACCACUCGGAAUGCUGCUUUUCUAAUCUUUGGCCCCUGCUUGCUUAACUCACUUGCUAAGUUUGUGUCUUUUGGGCUCCAACCAUUUCCAGUGAAGCAGAUGGUUACCCAAGGAGUCCAACCCAUCCCAAGCCAGAAGCAGAUGCCGCUAGUACUGUCCUCUUCAGAUCCCACAGCGAGAGAGUUACAACUGCAAAGAUAGCUAUGUCCGAAGUCAGCUCAAAGAAGUCAUACAAAAGACUUUUGGCGCCAACUCUGAUGGAAGACAGCACCAGAUCCAGGAAGAUGCAGUGGCUUCCAAGAGGGGCUGGGGAGGCCACCUGGGCUCCAGGUGAGUCGCUGAAGGACCCACCUUUUCAGCUGUGCCCCUGGCCUAGAGAAUCACCAGACCAUAAGAACCUGCUGCUGUCCUUGCUCCGCGAGCAGCAGCCAGGCCACUCUCGGGACCACUUGCUCGCUCCCUUCAGCCAAAGCUCAAUUUGUUGCCCCCCCGCCCAAUAAAGCUUGGCCUGGG